GACGAACGCUGGCGGCGUGCCUAAUACAUGCAAGUAGAACGCUGAAGAGAGAAGCUUGCUCUUCUUGGAUGAGUUGCGAACGGGUGAGUAACGCGUAGGUAACCUGCCUUGUAGCGGGGGAUAACUAUUGGAAACGAUAGCUAAUACCGCAUAACAAUGGAUGACACAUGUCAUUUAUUUGAAAGGGGCAAUUGCUCCACUACAAGAUGGACCUGCGUUGUAUUAGCUAGUAGGUGAGGUAAUGGCUCACCUAGGCGACGAUACAUAGCCGACCUGAGAGGGUGAUCGGCCACACUGGGACUGGGGCACGGCCCAGGCUCCUACGGGAGGCAGCAGUAGGGAAUCUUCGGCAAUGGGGGCAACCCUGACCGAGCAACGCCGCGUGAGUGAAGAAGGUUUUCGGAUCGUAAAGCUCUGUUGUAAGUCAAGAACGGGUGUGAGAGUGGAAAGUUCACACUGUGACGGUAGCUUACCAGAAAGGGACGGCUAACUACGUG
rnacentral:rRNA from 1 species